rnacentral:rRNA from 1 species
AUGGUGCUGGUAACAGAAGUAGCCGUUGCGGUUUCAGUGAUGGGGUGGUUCCUGUCGCCUCACAUCACCGAGCUCAUGAAGGUUGCACGGGACUGCGCAACCACCAACUACAUGGUCUACUGGGGCGGCAAGAAGAAGCUAGAAAAGCUGGUGCAGGAUCUGGGGGACAUCAAGCGCCUCCUAGAUCCAGCCAGCACGACCUUCGUCAACAACCAAGCCAAGCUCGACCGACUAUGGCGGCUCAAAGAUGACAUUCACGACAUCGAAGAGAUUCUGGACUGGUUUCAAGUGGAGAUCCGCAACGACGAGGCAACCGGUAGUAAUAACCUAAUCAAGAAGAAGAAGAUCCACGACAACAAAGUAAAGUUAAUGAGAAAGCUGAUGAAAGUGCUCGAGAGUGUAGGCGAGACUCGGAACAGGGUGUGGGAACUCCAACACGGUGCACCUUCUUCCAUCUUGGCAAGAACAGAAACGGGCCAGAACUCGGUGAGGGACCAGAAGAGCUUCUUUGGGUACCAGGAGGAGUAUGCCCAGCUGGUAAACAUGUUGUGGCAGCAGCCAGAUGGCAACAAGGUGGACGGCAAGGUGCAGCAGGUUAUCGCCAUCCUCGGCCAUGGCGGGAUGGGGAAGACGGAGCUUGCUCGCCGGGCGUUCCAGGACGCCAAAGGCAAGUUUGAGCACCGCAUAUGGGUGCACGCCUAUGGCAAGAACACCGAAUCUGACCUCUUGAAAGAGAUCUGGAAGUCUGUUGCCGGUCACCAACCGGUCGGCAAGAUGAACGUCGCAUGCCUCCAGAAGGAACUCGAGAAGCUGUUGGGGUCCAAGAGGUGCCUCCUGGUGCUGGACGAUGUAUGGAACCAUGAAUCGGCGGACAACGAGGAGGAGAGGAAGCAAGCAGUGGUGGCGUUGGACUUGUUUACGCGCUUCACCGAAGGUGGAAGUAGAGUCGUGAUGACGACCCGAGCCAAGAUUUGCUGGGAAACGUUCAAAGCAGAUAGAAGAAUCAUCUUAAAUGGGAUCAAAGACAAGGAGAUGACAUUUCUGCUCAACCACACUGCCAAUGGUACAACCGAGAAUAUUGACCAAAGGAUUCAGCAACGGAUACACAAGCAAGUCCCGAAGCUGAAGGGGUCCCCAUUGGCAGCUCUAGAGAUCGGCGAGGACUUGAAGAAAAAAACCACAAGUCAAGAGAAGUGCGACAUCUUUGACGACAUUGAACGUCAUCUGGGAAGCGUAUACCGGGCCCAUCUGUUCACCUAUCACCAUCUGCCGCCACACCUGCAGCGUUGUUUCCAGUUCUGCAGCAUAUUCCCAAACAAUAGCAGGUUCGAGCGUGAGAAGUUGACCAAGAUGUGGAUGGCCCUUGGUUUUGUUGAGGAGAAGGCCCAUGCCCUGGUUGGAAAUGGAGUGAGAAACAUGGAAGAUGUCGCCAGAGGCUACUUUGACGAUCUGGUGGAUCGUUCCUUGUUCCAGUUAGAACAGAGCAAGGGUGGAGGAGACAAACAGGCCCAUUACGUGAUCCAUGAGCAGAUCCAUUGGAUGCUACGGCUGGCCUCUGACAAGAACUGCAUCAGCAUCCCCCGCCGUAGCACAGCACCUAAAAGCAUCCCUGAAACGGUUCGCCACCUGUCAGUUGCCAGCAACUGUCUUGAUCUGCUCAAGGUGUAUCCUAGUUGGGAGCUCAACAAGAUGCGGACCCUGCUAGUCCUGGAGAAUGAUGAUGGUUCGACGUCGUCGACUUUUGACAAAGGUAUACUCAAACUGUUCAAGGGCGUGAGGGUACUGGACCUCAUAGCAGAAACAGGCCUCACGCAUCUGCCAGGAACAAUCCAUAAUCUGAAGCAUGUCCGGUACCUUGGCCUUCCGAGCACCAUGAGGAAUCUGUGUGAUGAGGUCACCGAGCUAUUCUUUCUCCAGACAUUCAGCCUUGAUGGCAAGAAGCAGAAUACCUGCCGGCUGCAGAGGUUUCCAAAACAUAUGAACAGCCUCGUCAACAUGCGACACCUCGACAUCGACAUGGAGUGCAUCGCCAACAUCAGCGGCAUCGGGAGGAUGGCUAAACUGCAAGGACCCAUCGAGUUCAAGGCCGUCAGGGCGUCAGAGAAAGAAGGGCACGCCGUGUCGGAGCUUGAGGGGAUGGACUCUCUGCGAGGGACGCUGAGCAUAAAGGGCCUCGACGCCGUCCCCAGCAAGGAGGAAGCCAUGAAGGCUCGACUCGAGCAGAAAAGUGCCGUCAAGGUGCUCAAGCUUGAAUGGGGGCCUCCGGAUCCGCGGCGAGUUAACGGUGGACCUGCUGACUCCGACGCGGUUGCCGUCCUUGAAGGUCUCCAGCCUCACCGCGACCUCCAUGAGCUGCGCAUCACAAGGUACCCUGGGGCGACGUCGCCGAGCUGGCUGGGCGUGAAGAUGGAGAGGCUGACGAGCCUGUACCUCAGGAACUGCAGGAAGCUCAAGGCCCUGCCUGUCCUCGGUCAGCUCCCCUGCCUGGAGCUUCUGGAUGUUAAGGAGCUGUCCUGCGUCGAAAGGAUCGAGGGCGGUUUCUGCGGCGCCGGCACGUUCCCGAAGCUGAAGAAGGUCGUGCUCGACGACAUGCCGGGACUGCUGUCGUGGGGUGAUAUGCCGAAACUGGCGCUCCCUGAGCUCGCGGAGGUGAACAUCGUAGACUGCCCACGGCUGUCCUCCCUGUCGGGCCUAGAGCACUGCGUAUGUCCCCUCAGCCUGCGCGUCAAGGGAUUGACGGCCAUAUUCAGUACCGGUGUCUCUAGCUACAAAUUCUGCUAG